GAAGGCUGAAAUUCGCCUUCAUGAAGCCGGAAUUGCUAGUAAUGGUAGGUCAGCAUACUGCCGUGAAUACGUUCCCGGGCCUUGUACACACCGCCCGUCACACCAUGAGAGUUGGGAAUACCCGAAGCCUGUGAGCUAACUUUUAGAGGCAGCAGUCGAAGGUAGAAUCAAUGAUUGGGGUGAAGUCGUAACAAGGUAAC
rnacentral:rRNA from 1 species